rnacentral:rRNA from 1 species
AACGAACGCUGGCGGCAGGCCUAACACAUACAAGUCGAGCGAGGACUUCGGUCCUAGCGGCGGACGGGUGAGUAACGCGUGGGAACGUGCCCUUUGCUACGGAAUAGCCCUGGGAAACUGGGAGUAAUACCGUAUGUGCCCUUUGGGGGAAAGAUUUAUCGGCAAAGGAUCGGCCCGCGUUGGAUUAGGUAGUUGGUGGGGUAAUGGCCUACCAAGCCGACGAUCCAUAGCUGGUUUGAGAGGAUGAUCAGCCACACUGGGACUGAGACACGGCCCAGACUCCUACGGGAGGCAGCAGUGGGGAAUCUUAGACAAUGGGGGAAACCCUGAUCUAGCCAUGCCGCGUGAGCGAUGAAGGCCUUAGGGUUGUAAAGCUCUUUCAGUGGGGAAGAUAAUGACGGUACCCACAGAAGAAGCCCCGGCUAACUCCGUGCCAGCCGCCGCUGUAAUAC